UUGCAUAUCCCUUCUCAGCGGCAUCGUUCUCAGAGUCGGUAUCUGACUCAGCCAUAGCCUCCUCACUAGACUCAAUUUCAGAGUCGGAGUCGCUCUCAGGUUGUGCUCUAGCACAUUUCCAUAGCCGCGCCCGUUCUGCCUGGUGCGGUAAGGCUCUCUUGUGUGUAAGGGACACACUUUCUGGGGCUACCGUAGGUACGCCAGUCUUAUGGGUUCUGGAGGC